UACGGAGGGUGCAAGCGUUAUCCGGAUUCACUGGGUUUAAAGGUGCGUAGGCGGCUUUAUAAGUCAUUGGUGAAAGCUCGCAGCUUAACUGUGAAACUGCCAUUGAAACUGUUUAGCUUGAAUGUGGUUGAAGUGGGCGGAAUACAACAUGUAGCGGUGAAAUGCUUAGAUAUGUUUUAGAACACCGAUUGCGAAGGCAGCUCACUAAGCCAAUAUUGACGCUGAGGCACGAAAGCGUGGGUAGCAAACAGG
rnacentral:rRNA from 1 species